rnacentral:rRNA from 1 species
GACGAACCGUGCGAACGUUGUUCGGAAUCACUGGGCUUAAAGGGCGCGUAGGCGGCUUGCCAAGUCAGUGGUGAAAUCCCACAGCUUAACUGUGGAAGUGCCUUUGAUACUGGCGAGCUCGAGGGAGGUAGGGGUAUGUGGAACUUCUGGUGGAGCGGUGAAAUGCGUUGAUAUCAGGAGGAACACCGGUGGCGAAGGCGGUUCUCUGGGCAUGUCCUGACGCUGAGGAGCGAAAGUGUGGGGAGCGAACAGG